GAACUCUGUGAAUGGAAAGAACCAUGUGAAUGCGAGAGCAUGCUUCCGCCCUUUCCCAGUGGAAAAACAAACCCGAGAAGCAAGGCACUGUCCAGGACCGCAGCAUAAGCGGAGGCCCCCGGAGGAGGAGAAGCUCUGGUUAAAAGAGGGACCACUCCACCACAUGUAAGGCCAUGGAGAGAAGCUGUGAGCCUUGCAGUCAAAGCCCCAGACACGAUAUGGCUCCAGCUGCAUUUCUAUGCAGCCCAGAUAAGUGGCCCUGACUUUGUGAUUGUCCUGCUCUAACCUCUGGAAAGCUGGCAUUGCAAACAUACAAACACACACAACCACAUCUGACCUCAGCUCCUUUUCUGAUUCCAAUUCUGGCCAGGCCUGUCUCAAGACAACCAAGUUCAUUCCCUAACCCAAACCCUCAAGUCACCUGCUUUGGUAGAUUUCAGUCAUCUAGCCUGAUAACCUCUCCUCAGCUCACCAGGGAACAGAUGCCCAGCACCACACAUAUAAAUGUUCACACAAGGUAUGAUGAACGUUGAAAUAUGUCUGAAAACUUAGGCUUGGUGGAAAGUUUGUUUCAACCUUCUGCUAAAAGCCAGUAACUCCUCCUGUCUCAACCCUCAGGGGCAGAGUCCAACAAAGAAACAGCACCUGCCACAGGCAAACACAGGCAGACACACUGCCAGUCAGUGGGUUUCCUAACUCCUGGGGGAAGGGGGGAAGACAACACACACACACACACACACACACACACACACACACACGACUGACAGAUGGUAAUUAGUUGCUUCCCAGAUGCCAGUGUCUGUCUGUCUGUCUGUCUGUCUGUCUCCAGUGACUUCUAAGGUGAAAAGCUACUCACUCAGGCUCUUCUACUUGUCCAGCUCUUCCAUGCAGAAUCUGUCAAGAAUGCCAGGUGUGGAGGCUGGAGAGAUGGCUCAGCAGUUAAGCGCACUUAACUUCCAGAGGACCUGGGGUUCGAAUCCUAACACCCACAUGGCUGCUCACAACUGUCUGUAACCCCAGUCCCAGGGGAUCCAUAGCCCCUUUCUGGCUUCUGCAGACACCAGGCACAUAUAUGGUGUACAGCCACUCAGGCAAAUAUCCAUACACAUAAAAUAAACAUAAAUGAAUCUUA